rnacentral:rRNA from 1 species
GAUGAACGCUGGCGGCGUGCCUAAUACAUGCCAGUCGAGCGAACAGACGAGGAGCUUGCUCCUCUGACGUUAGCGGCGGACGGGUGAGUAACACGUGGAUAACCUACCUAUAAGACUGGGAUAACUUCGGGAAACCGGAGCUAAUACCGGAUAAUAUAUUGAACCGCAUGGUUCAAUAGUGAAAGACGGUUUUGCUGUCACUUAUAGAUGGAUCCGCGCCGCAUUAGCUAGUUGGUAAGGUAACGGCUUACCAAGGCAACGAUGCGUAGCCGACCUGAGAGGGUGAUCGGCCACACUGGAACUGAGACACGGUCCAGACUCCUAAGGGAGGCAGCAGUAGGGAAUCUUCCGCAAUGGGCGAAAGCUUGACGGAGCAACGCCGCGUGAGUGAUGAAGGUCUUCGGAUCGUAAAACUCUGUUAUUAGGGAAGAACAAAUGUGUAAGUAACUAUGCACGUCUUGACGGUACCUAAUCAGAAAGCCACGGCCAACUACGUG